UUAGCAAGUGAUUUGCUCAGAUACGCGAUGGGUAUUAUUUUCUACAUCAAUACUGCGCCAAUGUUGGCAUCUAUUCUUUUCUACAUCAAUACUGCGCCAAUGCUGGAAUUUAUUUGUACUUUGAGAUCAAUCGAAAAAUCAGGUUGAUGAAAAUCGUUGCUUCAUAGAGCUCAUCCAGUAACUCGUCCACUACAGAUAUAAGGGAUAAAGGUAUAGUCUUAGAUUUGGUGGAAUCGUUUGAGAUUAUUAGAAUGAUCAGUUUUUUGAAUUGGAGACAGGCAGGCAGCUGGUUUGGUUCUAUGAAAACAGUGAGAUUGACUAAAUGUUGGCAUUUGUUUCUAUUUUGAGAUCAACCUGAAAAAUCAGGGGCCGAUUUUGUCGCGAGGGCGAUCUGAAAAUCAUUAAUGUUUCUCGUAAUAACAGAAUUAUAAAGGAUCCGAGAUCCAGGAUAAAUGAUGUCAAUCAAGCUGUUGGAGUUUGUCCCAUUGGGGUAGCAAUUAUCUAAAUGCAAGUGUGAAUGCUAAAGAAAGUGCUAGUCAGAUCGUCUGUAAUGGUUAAGGUACCACGCUAACGAAAGCAACCUGAGCAGAACUUGAACAAUGAGAAUCUUCAAGACAAUUAUGAAAUAAUAAUGGCUAGUCUAAGCUUUCUACUUACAGCUGGAAGAUGUUUGGAUGACACUACUAUUAGAACCAGUCUACCAUGUGUAUCGACUUGUUCUGCUUGACUCUUCGUUCUAAAAAAUGUUAAAUGUAAACAAACUCCAUUGACAUGCAAGGAGAGAGAAUUAUAAUAGAAGAUAAGGAAUAGAGACGGGACAGAUUGAAUCAGAAAUGGGGAGCAGAAGAACGGAGGUGCUGAGCCCCAUUCCAUUAGGAAGAAAUAAAAAAUUAUUACGGUUUGUUAUUGUUUUUGUUGUCAUUUGGAUAUAUCUUUGUUUUGUUGAUGACUCUUUUAUCUCAAGGCAAAAGCUGCCUUGUCUUGAUUGAACCCUUGUAUCUCUUUUCCUUUUUGGGUUUUAUUAAAUGACAAUAAGUCAUUUCCCAAAACAAACAAAAAUUCAGAAAUUAUUACAUCAUAUUUGCCUUAUCUAUUUAUACUAUUCAUGUAUGGACACUCAUAAACAAUUAGU